GAUCUAGAAUCUAAAUAUGGCUCCUCAUGUCUCGGAAGACAAUGAGUCGGGAGGACAGGUGAGUCACUGGCUUUGAUUUCGUUUUGAGAUGGGGCAGAAUUUUGUGUGACUGAUUAAGCCUUAUAUUCUGGAGUGGCAGAGUUUGACACAGUUCGUGCAUGUAUAGAUCUAUAUAUGUGUAGUGGAGUGGAUAUCUUUUCAGGAAACACCGGCCACCCCGAUAUCCACGUGACCCUUCCCCCUAAAUGGCACCUUGUGUCCGCGCAUGACAAGACAGACAAACAUGGGCACUGUUGAUUCGACCGGCAUCUCCCGUAUGUUACUGGACCUACGUCGUCUCCACUCCCUGUUUGUGUCUGGUUCUACACCAUGUGUUUAUGUAUGGCUGCAGAUUGUUGAACCAGUCAUUCAUUGACAGUUGUUUAUAGUAAACAAAGGAACAAAAUGAAGACACAAUGUCCAGAUGCAUGAAUUGGAGAUUUAGUUACAAAAGAAAAAGAACCUCAUAUGCUGAACAUAAAACUUGAUUGUUUUUAUAUGCUCUUAAAACAUCAAAUCUUGCGAUACAAGAGUCCUAUCAAUGGUCUUUUUCCUUCUGUUGGAUCUGACAAGAAUACAAAUAGAAUAGCUAAUGUUCAGGAUUCUAUUUACUGUGCAGUUGCUGUUUGGUCACUGGCUCAAGUUUAUAAAAAGAUUGAUGAUGACCAGGGCAGGAUCAUAAGUUGGGCCAAGCUGAUGAUGGGUAUGUAGCAAUGUUGGAUAUUCAAGUUGGCCUCCUUCAGUCGUAGAGCGACUAUGGUUCUCAAACAUUUUUCCAUGUGCAAUGUUGGAUAUGACAGGCAGAUAAAGUAGAAAAGUUCAAAUCCAAUUAAGUCCAGCAUAUGCCCUGCACUCUACAUUUGAUCUUGUCACUGGUUACCCAGCAUACAGAGGCAAAGAAUAUGAACAUUUGCAAAUAAUAAAUGAACACCUUUGAUUUGGAUUCCUCAACUCAAGGAAACAUACCAAUACUAGAACAGUCUUAAAAAAAACAGCAGUGAGGCCAACAACAAGGGGAUUCAUUCAACAGAUGAAGUCAACUUCAUACAGAAUCUAGUUUUUUAUGUGGAGAGAGCUUAUAGAACACCUGACUAUGAGCUUAUAGAACACCUGACUCUGGGAUGUGGGAAAGAGGAAAUAUAACAAUGGAACCAUAGAGAUUCAUGCCAGUUGGCAUUGCUAGAGCAGCAUUAAGGCAGUCAAUGAAUGUAACUUAUUUGGUGAGCAUGGAGCCACCUGGUCUGGGAUUUUUGUUAAUAUUGAUGCCCACCACAGGAACAGAACAAUAUUUGAAACUAUCUGACCAUGGGAAUCAAACUCUGAGAAUACUGAUGCCUCUCCGUAAGUUGGCCUGCAUUAGCCGUAAAUGAAGAUGAUGUUAGAAUGAAAACAAUUGAGAAGGUCAUUCGCAAGUUAAAGGCAACUUUGGUAUCAAACAUUUUCCUAGAGAUAGGUACAAAACAGCUAUAAAGGACAAAAAUAGAAAGUAUUACCGCCCUGCUGAAAUUAAGUUUUGAUGGGAUUGAAUUUGAGGGACCUAAGGUGUCAUUUUAAUUGAUUUACAUUUAUAAGCACAGUAAGACUUUCUGAUCUUUUGGCAUCAUUUUACAUAGCUCAGAAGACAGAAACUGCCACACAGUCUGCUCUGAACUCCCAAGAGUACUCCAAAUUACCAGAUCUACCUGUGACACCUGUGUGAAACCGAAAGCAGAAGACGACUCUAUUCCUAACUAGAGCUACAGGUGUCCUCUGAAAGAAAGAGCUAUACCAUUCAAGACAUCGUUUGAUGACAGAUACACCGCUUCAUCACUAGUGCUCGCCACUAUUCAUCAUUGGCACACUCGCACCUUGACAUGGUCGUACCAUUCAGGUCUUGUAGAGAAAUAGCUCUCAGCUGAGACAUUCUCUUACUUAUGGUCAAUAUUUUUUUUUCAGCAUACUGAUGGAUAUCCUGAUUUGAUGUUAUUUAUUUGGGCUACUUAGGAGUAAUACAUAGCCUAAUAUACAAGUAACUGUACAAGUUCUAUCUUUCCAAGAACUGGAUUAUAUUAAUUUGAACUAACAGAAGCCCCUAGUAAGUAAUUAUCUUGGAUUACCUAGUUGUGAACUUCCUAACCACUGUGGAUUAUUAUUUUGGAGUACUUGACAGAACUUGUAUUAAUUGUAAAUUUGAGCAUUUGAGCCAUCUUAUGGCAUUGAACUGGAUUAUUUUUCUACUACCACUUUAAUGCUCAUAGUGACGUGUAUUCUUAAAUUGGAUUACUUAUACAUGGAUUAUUGAACCACUCAAGCUGUAAUUGCUUUUGACAAGCUACAAGAGAGAAGAGGAUUAAACUACACUAGUCAACAAGAAAAGAGUCUGUAAGUCAUUAUUAACAAAUUAAAUACAUGCAUAUGAUUAUAAAGUACAUGGAUUUUGCUUUGAUAUAGCAGUAAUUAAACUUGAUUGUUAGUAGAGUUAGUAAUUGAUAACUCUUGGCAUUCUUGGAGCCAUAUUUUGAUUUCAUUUCUCUACGUGUUUUUUUGAGGGUGGCUGGAGAGGGACUAUUUUAUGAACUAUCAUAACAAUAGGAUCUAUUAGGGUCUGUCCUAUUUGUUCUUUAACCUCUAUAAGGCCCAAUGCGUUUGAGGCUCUCCUUGUUGGUAUGGAGGUCAUAGAAUAUCAUCAUCAUCAUUCCUUUGAGUUCCUCAUGGAACAUAGGGCCUCGACAUAAACACGCCACUCUCCACGGUCUCUUGCUAGCUUUUUGAUGGUGUCCCAGCUCUUCCCGGUCUUCUCUGCUUCUUCAAGUACAUAGAAUAUAGUGGGAAAAUAUUUAUUUAGCUGUUGAGUCUUGUUUGUAUUUCUGUCAGUGUACUUAAUCUGUAUCUAUAUUGUUGUUUGUUUAAAAGUCCUGUAUCCAUAUAUCUGUAUUUCUCCUGUCACAUUUCUACUUUUUAUUAAUUUCUUUAAAAGCAGACUGUGUUGUUCUCUAUAUUGUUUCUGUGUUUGUCCUUUUACUUAUACUGUACAUAUAUUUCUUUCUUUUACUAAUUUACAUUUUUUACUAUUUUACUUUGGCACAACAGCACACAUGUAUAACAUAUUGUUAUAAACCUGGUGGUGGCACAGAUGGGGGUUGUGGUGUGUGUGUAGUCAGCCGACGCAAAUCGCCCCAGGCCAACGGUUGACGAGCGGUCAACCGUGACGAGCUACGACGGUCAACCGAGACGAGUUAACAACAUGAAGGUUCGAGUAGGAUCGGCGUUGUGAACAGAGCUCAGGAGCGUCCCAGAAUGGUCGAGCGACGUUCUGCCCGGUUCUAGAAGGCCAGCAGGGACCCUAUAUAAAGAGCGAAGGUAUCAGAGACGAGUCAGUCACAACUUCCCGAUCUACAGUUCGUUACAACGGCUCAGUACAAGUCCGAGACGAGACAGAGAGACCAGUGCAAGAUUUGAUACGGCGGAGAGAUAUUUGUACAGUCUUGUGUUACGUGCUGCCAAUUGUACAGUAUUGGCUGUUAUUUAUUGACAUUAAAUUAUUACGUUAUUUUGAAGCCCAGAGUUGUCAAGUUCUUUAAGUUGGUGGUGUCGUUUGGUGCAAUUUGCAGCGAGCCUAGAUAGGGAGAUUCGUAACAACUGGUGUCAGAAGUGGGAUCGGAUCUGCUAUGGCUACUACGAAAACGCUAGACCAACUCCUUGUGAAGGAACUGAAGGAAGAGCUCCGUGGUCGAGAUCUGAAGACGAGCGGCAACAAAGAAACCUUAAAAGCACGCCUUCGGGAAGAACUGGUGAAGGAAAAAGAAGAUCCGGACACAUAUCUUUUCGAAGUCGAACCGGACUUGCUGGAACAGCUCACCUGUAGAAUGCAGCAACAGAUCACCAGUAGCAAACAGGAGCAGAUGGCAGCUAUGAACUCGGGGCUAGAAAACACCAAUUACAAGAUAGACGCCAUGGACUCGGGAAUCAAAACGGAGUUAUUGGCAAUGAACCAACGCAUACAUGCUGUGGAGGAGAGAAUCACCAACAUUGACGAGCAGAUGAAUCAGAGGGUCGACGCAGUAGAGAAGGCCAUCGACGAAAUGAAGAUACAAGUCCAACGCAAGCACACAAAUGUACCAGGAGCAGAGAUGACGUCAUUUGUACCUGAAGUCUUCGGGAAAAUGAAGCCCCCCGUAUUUGAUGGUUCCGUGUCCUGGUCAGUAUACAAGAAGCAAUUUGACGCAGCAGCCAAAGUUAACAAAUGGAACAGUGAGGAGGAGAAAGCAACAGCCCUUGUGUUAUCCCUAAGAGGAAAAGCCUCUGAAUUGCUACAGUCUCUGCCGAACCAGCAAGACUUCGCCGCCCUUGUCCAGGCUAUGGAACUCCGAUAUGGGGACGAACAUCUGCAAGAAGUAUAU